rnacentral:rRNA from 1 species
UACGGAGGGAGCUAGCGUUGUUCGGAAUUACUGGGCGUAAAGCGCACGUAGGCGGCUUUGUAAGUUAGAGGUGAAAGCCCGGGGCUCAACCCCGGAAUUGCCUUUAAGACUGCAUCGCUUGAAUCCAGGAGAGGUGAGUGGAAUUCCGAGUGUAGAGGUGAAAUUCGUAGAUAUUGGGAAGAACACCGGUGGCGAAGGCGGCUCUCUGGACCGAUACUGACGCUGAGGCGCGAAAGCGUGGGGAGCAAACAGG